rnacentral:rRNA from 1 species
GGGGAGUGGCAGACGGGUGAGGAACACGUGGGAACAUACCUUUUGGUUCGGAAUAACUCAGGGAAACUUGAGCUAAUACCGGAUAAGCCCUAACGGGGAAGGAUUUAUCGCCGAAAGAUUGGCCCGCGUCCGAUUAGCUAGUUGGUGAGGUAAUGGCUCACAAAGGCGACGAUCGGUAGCUGGUCUGAGAGGAUGAUCAGCCACACUGGGACUGAGACACGGCCCAGACUCCUACGGGAGGCAGCAGUGGGGAGUAUUGGACAAUGGGCGCAAGCCUGAUCCAGCCAUGCCGCGUGAGUGAUGAAGGCCCUAGGGUUGUAAAGCUCUUUCGACGGGGACGAUAAUGACGGUACCCGUAUAAGAAGCCCCGGCUAACUUCGUGCCAGCAGCCGCGGUAAUACGAAGGGGGCUAGCGUUGCUCGGAAUCACUGGGCGCAAAGCGCACGUAGGCGGACUUUUAAGUCGGAGGUGAAAUCCCAAGGCUCAACCUUGGAACUGCCUU